rnacentral:rRNA from 1 species
CCUACGGGUGGCAGCAGUGGGGAAUAUUGCACAAUGGGGGAAACCCUGUUGCAGCAACGCCGCGUGAGCGAUGAAGGCCUUCGGGUCGUAAAGCUCUGUCCUAAGGGAAGAAUACUGACGGUAACUUAGGAGGAAGCCCCGGCUAACUACGUGCCAGCGGCCGCGGGAAUACGUAGGGGGAUAGCGUUAUCCCGAAUUACUGGGCGUAAAGGGUGCGUCGGCGGACCUUAAAGUCAGAGGUGAAAGGCUAGGGCUCAACCGUAGUAAGCCUGUGAAACUGUGGGGCUUGAGUGCGGGAGAGGAGAGUGGAAUUCCCAGUGUAGCGGUGAAAUGCGUAGAUAUUGGGAGGAACAACAGUUGCGAAGGCGGCUCUCUGGACUGUAACUGACGCUGAGGCACGAAAGCGUGGGGAGCGAACAGGAUUAGAUACCCUUGUAGUC